GGCUGGUCCUCUAUCUUGUUACCUGGACAUUGAGUUUAAUAAUGGAAAUGCUGAUCUUGAGUGUUGUUCUGGUUUUAAGCCGAAUACUGUCUCAUUUAAAACUUGGUAAAAAUGAGAUGCAGAAAUACCUCAACAACUGAGUGAAAGCUAACAUCAAUAUUGAACC